CAGCGGCGCACACCGCUACUGCCAUGACAAGGCGCUCCCAUUAUUUGGGCGCACAUGUGUGACAAAAGGCAUACAAGUCCGGAAGCACGAAGAAUUGUGGAAUAUUUCCAUCCGUAUUAUGAAAAACUUGGAUAUUUUAGUGGCACUGAUGGUCCGUCAACCGAACGUGACAGCAAACAGCAGUACGCCUCCUACGCACCCUUAGCGAAUACGAGCGGUACAGCAGUGAAUCGAGUUGGCAGCAGCCGGCGCUUCAUGCCCGCCGCAGUGACUUCGGCUGCGGUGCCGAACACGAUGACCCGCGAUUGAAUACCGAGCCACGACUGCCAUAGUUCGUUCUGGUUUCCCUUGAAGCUCUGCCUGGGUGAGCGAACGCCGAGAUUUAUUCCAGCCGAAGCACGCGUUCGAUACUUUCAUGUCGACGCAAGCUUACAACCGCGCUGGCUCUUCCCAAACAGCGCAUCUUGGUUCUGUACACAGCUGCCCAUUGGCGUCACCGAUGAGGCACACUGGGCUUAAUCCAUCCUAACCGGCGAAUCCUACUAGCGAAAACCACCAGUGAUGUCACCAGUCAAGAGACGGUUGAAACCACCAACCACGAACCAUCAGUAAUUGUGUCAAGUGAGGGACAUAUGUAUAGAUAUACAUAGUCUAAGAAUGUAAUAUUCUAAAAUUUAACAUAACCAUAAUCUCUAACAAUACAAUGUCAUAUAAACAUUUC